GCCCUUCUCUAGACUGCGGUGCCAGCAGCCGCGGUAAUACGGGAGUGGCAAGCGUUAUCCGGAAUUAUUGGGCGUAAAGCGUCCGCAGGCGGCUUUUCAAGUCUGCUGUUAAAGCGUGGAGCUUAACUCCAUCAUGGCAGGGGAAACUGAAAGGCUUGAGUAUGGUAGGGGCAGAGGGAAUUCCCGGUGUAGCGGUGAAAUGCGUAGAUAUCGGGAAGAACACCAGUGGCGAAGGCGCUCUGCUGGGCCAUUACUGACGCUCAUGGACGAAAGCCAGGGGAGCGAAAGGGAUUAGAUACCCCUGUAGUCCUGGGCGUAAACGAUGAACACUAGGUGUCGGGGGAAUCGACCCCCUCGGUGUCGUAGCUAACGCGUUAAGUGUUCCGCCUCGGGGAGUACGCACGCAAGUGUGAAAAUCAAAGGAAUUGACGGGGGGCCCGCACAAGCGGUGGGAGUAUGGGGGUUAAUUCCAUGCCACGCGAAAAACCCUACCAGGGUUUGACAUCCUGCGAACCUCUUAAAAAUUUUAAGGGUGCCUUCCGAGAAGCCGAGGAAAGUGGGUGCAUGGCUGUCGUCAGCUCAUGUCGGAGAUAGUGUGUUUAAAUUCCCGCAACGACGGCAACCCGGUUUUUAGUUGCCCCCAUUAAUUGGGGCCUCUCAAAAAGACGGCGGGGGAUAAACCGCGAGAAAGGGGGGAUGAAGCCCAACCUCCUGGGCCCUUACCCCUGGGAAACAACGGCAUAAAGGAAAUCCCAAACCGGGGGGUGGUUUAAAAAGAAAGUCAC
rnacentral:rRNA from 1 species